GGUUCGAUGGUGUAGUUGGUUAUCACGUCCGUCUCACAGGCUUGAUGGGGGAGUCAAGUGGUUCACGGGAGGUCUCCGGUUCGAACCCGGGUCGAACCA